UACACAGACAGCAGACACGACAUGAAAGAUCGAUAUUGUCAUGAAUAAUUUGCAAUAUAUCGAUCGAGAGGGAGCAAUUCAGCAACUCGCAUGACGGCUAUCUAACUACUUUUUCGACUUUUUCUUCUUCUUUUUCUUACCCUUCGACUUAA
rnacentral:ribozyme from 16 species